rnacentral:lncRNA from 1 species
CUUAGAGCAAACCAUAAAUUAACAUCAUCAUAGAAUUUGGAAGGCCAUUUGGCUUCUUGUAAGGACCCCGUCAUAUUGUACCAACUCUUGAUUAAUCGUAAAAGUCAAAUAGCAAUGCUCCUAUAUAUAAUAACAAACCUUUAAGCAAAUUUAUAAUAAAGCCAGAAUCAGCUCUGAGUUAUACCUUCAAUAAGGUGAUUAGAACAUAGCAAAUAUGGCUUUACAAGUCAAAUUAUCAUUUUUCACAGUUUUUAUUUGUGUUUUGGCUAUGGUUGUUGUUGGUCAUGAGGGGCAUCAUCACUUGGCUCCUGCAGAAGCACCUACUAGUUAUGCAAGCACCUUCAAUUAUCAAACGAUGAUUGGUGGAUUUGUUCCCAUUCUCAUUGCAAUUCUCUUUGCGAGGAAUGGCUUUUGAGAAUUCUUUUCUUUUAUCUUACUCUUAAUUGUUUUACAUUUUCUUCUUUCUUAUCUUCAUAUGUCAUUUACAUUUUGGCUUUCCUCUGUUAUGUUUGUUGGUUUGUAUAGUACAAUAUAUUUGUUUGGAAACUAUGCUCUGUAUACGUAUGUUUACGUGAUUUGACUAAAAAAAAAAGUAAUGUUUGGUUUCAAUUGAGAUAAAUUGAUUUGAGCCUCAAAAAGCAAUUUUAACUUGAAGCUCAAAUGUAUUAUGUGUUAUAUGUGGUAUGAAUUGAUUUUGCAUUGCCUAAAAAAAUUAUUAUUUUUGGAUAUAAAUGCAACUGCUUGAAAGUAAAUUGAAUCCUAAAAACUAGUGAAAAGGGUAUUAUAAUUACAAGUUAUUUCAACUAGGUUGAUACCUUACACACACUAACAAUUCUAUGCGGCACCAUUAAAUAUAUUGAAA